UACGGGGGGGCAAGCGUUGUUCGGAAUUACUGGGCGUAAAGGGCUCGUAGGUGGCCAACUAAGUCGGACGUGAAAUCCCUCGGCUUAACCGGGGAACUGCGUCUGAUACUGGAUGGCUUGAAUCCGGGAGAGGGAUGCGGAAUUCCAGGUGUAGCGGUGAAAUGCGUAGAUAUCUGGAGGAACACCGGUGGCGAAGGCGGCAUCCUGGACCGGCAUUGACGCUGAGGAGCGAAAGCCAGGGGAGCAAACGGG
rnacentral:rRNA from 1 species